CGAUGAAGGUUCAAGAGGGGCAAGGAAAAGCUAGAGAUGAGAACUGAGUGGAAGAUUCAAGAGUGCCUCUGGUUCUCUUUUAUUGUCUUAAUGCUUUUCAUCAUUGCAAGUGAUUCUAUUGCAGAGCCUCUACAAAGCAACAAUUACUGCUUUGGCAAUGCCACGACUGGUGAAUUUCACGAAGAAACAUUCAUUGUCGAAUCCGAUAUGCGUCCAAGUCCCCCCAUGAUUAGUUAUGAUAGUUUUAGAAGGCAAGCAAUUUGCAAGGGGAAUAUAUAUGGGAAUUGCUUAGGACAAUCGUUGACGAAGGGGCCGCCUAAGCGGUCUUGUACUUACUACACUAAAUGCAGAAUAGACUAGGAAUUAAGGAGAUGCGCGAGGAGGCAAAGGUUCGCACUUCUGUUCUAUAGUGUAAUCCCUACAAUAAAUGCUGAAUAAUCUCAUUUGCCUCCCUUUCAUUCUUCAACUUGAGUUUCUUUAGUUUAUUCUUUUUACCCUUCUCAUGUUCUGUAUUGUUAAACUUAUAACCCAAAACAAAUUGUUUAAUUAAGUCCAAUAUGUAGUGUGAAAGCACAAGAUGAUACAACGGGUACCAGUUUUAGCACCGAGCACUAAGCGAAUAUUUUACGAAGCUAUUUCAUUGUCUUCUGGUGCUUGAUUGGG
rnacentral:misc_RNA from 1 species